UGCCUACGGGCGGCAGCAGUGGGGAAUCUUGCGCAAUGGGCGAAAGCCUGACGCAGCCAUGCCGCGUGGAUGAUGAAGGUCUUAGGAUUGUAAAAUCCUUUCAGCGGGGACGAUAAUGACGGUACCCGCAGAAGAAGCCCCGGCUAACUUCGUGCCAGCAGCCGCGGUAAUACGAAGGGGGCUAGCGUUGCUCGGAUUUACUGGGCGUAAAGGGCGCGUAGGCGGACAGUUAAGUCGGGGGUGAAAGCCCGGGGCUCAACCUCGGAAUUGCCUUCGAUACUGGCUGUCUUGAGUACGGGAGAGGUGUGUGGAACUCCGAGUGUAGAGGUGAAAUUCGUAGAUAUUCGGAAGAACACCAGUGGCGAAGGCGACACACUGGCCCGUUACUGACGCUGAGGCGCGAAAGCGUGGGGAGCAAACAGGAUUAGAUACCCGGGUAGUCC
rnacentral:rRNA from 1 species